CCAAAAAUCAACUAACUAGCUAAUUGAUUAAUGAAUCACAAACAUAUGUUGAGAACCUAUGAUUUAGAAGGCACUGGGGAUUCCAAUGUGAAAUAUGUAGUUCACUCUUCAAAGAGCAGAGAUGAUUGAGGGAAGUAGACAAUCACACCAACAGUCCCACACAGUGCAAUAUAAGCCAUGUCAGAACAUGCUGGGGUGGAGGGAUUAGGUUAUCAUGGAAGGCUUCCUGGAGGUGGUGACGCCUGAAUGGAGCCUUAACCUAUGAUUAAGGGUUAAAGUGUAUGAGCCUUGAGGAAUGAGAUGUACCCCUAAAAGGAAGAAGGUAUAAGAGGCAUGGAGAGAUUGUGGGGUGUACUUGUGGAAUCGCAAGAAGUGUGGUCCGUACAGGGAACAGGGAGGCGGAUUUUUGGGGGCUGAGUUUUGACAGGUAGGCAGGUGCUGAUCAUGAAGGGCCUUGGGCGGUAAGCUAAGAAAUUUGGAUUUUAUUUUAAGAAUGUGCAAUGGACUGAAUGUUUGUGCUCCACCCCCGCAAACUCAUAUGUUGAAACCUAACCCCCAAAGUGAUGGUAUUAG
rnacentral:lncRNA from 10 species